UACGUAGGGUGCGAGCGUUAAUCGGAAUUACUGGGCGUAAAGCGUGCGCAGGCGGCGCGUUAAGACAGGUGUGAAAGCCCCGAGCUUAACUUGGGAAUUGCGCUCGUGACUGGCGUGCUGGAGUGUGGCAGAGGGAGGUGGAAUUCCACGUGUAGCAGUGAAAUGCGUAGAGAUGUGGAGGAACACCGAUGGCGAAGGCAGCCUCCUGGGCCAGCACUGACGCUCAUGCACGAAAGCGUGGGGAGCAGACAGG
rnacentral:rRNA from 1 species